rnacentral:tRNA from 1 species
GUAGGCCCCAUGCCCAACAUGGGACUUGAACUCAUGACCCUGAGAUCAAGAGUCACAUGCUCUACCAACUGAGCCAAC